CUCGUAGGCGGUUCGUCGCGUCCGGUGUGAAAGUCCAUCGCUUAACGGUGGAUCCGCGCCGGGUACGGGCGGGCUUGAGUGCGGUAGGGGAGACUGGAGUUCCCGGUGUAACGGUGGAAUGUGUAGAUAUCGGGAAGAACACCAAUGGCGAAGGCAGGUCUCUGGGCCGUUACUGACGCUGAGGAGCGAAAGCGUGGGGAGCGAACA
rnacentral:rRNA from 1 species